AACGAACGCUGGCGGCAGGCUUAACACAUGCAAGUCGAACGCCCCGCAAGGGGAGUGGCAGACGGGUGAGUAACACGUGGGAACGUACCCUUUACUACGGAAUAACGCAGGGAAACUUGUGCUAAUACCGUAUGUGCCCUUCGGGGGAAAGAUUUAUCGGUAAAGGAUCGGCCCGCGUUGGAUUAGCUAGUUGGUGGGGUAAAGGCCUACCAAGGCGACGAUCCAUAGCUGGUCUGAGAGGAUGAUCAGCCACAUUGGGACUGAGACACGGCCCAAACUCCUACGGGAGGCAGCAGUGGGGAAUAUUGGACAAUGGGCGCAAGCCUGAUCCAGCCAUGCCGCGUGAGUGAUGAAGGCCUUAGGGUUGUAAAGCUCUUUCACCGGAGAAGAUAAUGACGGUAUCCGGAGAAGAAGCCCCGGCUAACUUCGUGCCAGCAGCCGCCGUAAGAC
rnacentral:rRNA from 1 species